AUGGGAAUAAGCAGUUGAUGACCUUGGGAUCCUAAAUUGCCCUUUCCCCACCAUCCACUCUGCAGCCUCCGGUUUAUAACUGAAGUCUGCCCUCUGCUGGUCAUAGGUGGCCCAAACUCACAACAUGGAGCAGCUUGCUUCUAAAAUCAUUUCUUCUGCAGGAGCAUUUUGGAAAUUGCUACAAUUUAUUCAGCUAUAGCAAUACAGAGAAGUGACGUCUUGUGCAGAGCAUUACUCUUUUAUUUUUUACUUAUUGGUGUUUGUGAGUUUUUUUCCUUUUAUUCAACAGAAGCAGAACUGGGACAGUUUUAGUUAUUUAUAAGCCACUUUCAUUUGUGAUAAAUAACCAUUAUUUGCAUUUGCGCGGUGCCUGCCAAGGCCCUUCUGCUCCUAUUGCCUCAUGAGUCACUAAGAUACUUUUCUUGGUAGAAGUGGAUGAGGGCCAUUCAAGAUAGGAGAUAAUACAACUUAAGGGCUGUCAACGGUCCAGUAGUUUUUCAGAAGUGGUUUGUGGACUGAGUGUUGAGUAAAGAAAGACCCAGAGACUGAUUCUCCUCAAGUUCUGUGGGACAUCUGCUUGCUCUGUUAGAACUCUCAGGCCGUCAGACAUUUGGGGAUCCCAAGCAAACAUGGCAGCCCUUUCUUCCCCCUCGUUCCGUAUGGGCACUCUGGCCGAGGAGGCAGAACCAGGAGGGAUGUGAAAGGAGCUCUAUGCACAAAGAAGCCAGCUCAACCCGAUGGAGUAAAAACAUUAAAAACCCUGGAGGCUUCACGUUGAAGAUGGUUAUGUCACAGGAUGGAAUGAACCUGUAUCUAUGAUUCAGAGAAGAGGUGCUCAGAAGAGCCACUCAACCAAGAAAACCCACGUUGAACUUUGCAUGAGUAAAAAAAUAAUUUUUUGUGUGCUAAGCCUCAGAGGUCUAAAUAUUUUUUAAACUAUUAGAUUACCCUGGCUAAUAUAGGAGGAUUAUUAGGAGAUGCUUACAAUACUAAAGAUAGAGACUUUCCAUGUUGUAUGCUGAAGGAUUAGAGCCCUGGGAGAAAAUAAAUGGAAGAUCA
rnacentral:lncRNA from 1 species